CCAAACAAACAAUUCCACAGUAAAGGAAAACCCUUCCUUUCUCUUGCUUCAGCCCCCAUUUUACAGGACAUCACCCAUCUCUGUAAUUUCUCAGCCAUGGCUAUCACAUAAGAAAAAAAAAGAAUUUUUGUCUUCUCUUUUUCUUAUCUUCAACAAAUUUCACUAUCUUUACACCUCUUUGUUUCUUCUCUGUUCAAUUUUCCAAAUACACAAAUCAGGUUAGACACUUGAUUUUCACUUGAAAAAGAAAAAUAAUGAAUAUUGCACAAGUAACUCUUUCAAAUAACUCAAAUAACUCUAAAAGGGAAAUCCUUGACUCGGAAUCAUGGAGACUAAGAGCAGAAAAUCAGAGAGUGGUUGAAGAAUAUGAGAUGUUGCUUUUCCCUUCUGAUGGUUUGAAGGCACAAAAAAAUUUACAAACAGUCAAUGCUUUUGGUUAGAGGUCUUUUGUUCAGUGCCCGGAAGACUAAAAUCGAAACAUAAUUCUGGAGUUCUACAACAAUUUUAAUCCAGUAAGUUGUACUUCAACCGUGAGAGGUAAAAUCAUUCGCUUUGAUGCUGAAUUUAUAAAUGAUAUUUUUAACUUGAGAAACACUGAUGAUAGUGAAACCAAGAAAUUUAUGGAUGAUCAAGAUGUAGAUUUUGUAAGACUUGUGUUGGGCGACUUGUGUCCUAAUGGUGUUAAAGUUUACUUGAGAACUGUUGAACGUCCUUUGAGUAUUAACUAUUCAUGUAUGCUUGAAUUAGCAAGAGCCUGGGGUAGAUUCGUUAGUUCUCACUUAAUCCCGUAGUUGAAUACCUCGAACUACAAUAUAGAAUGAGUUCUUUCGAUAUAUGCGAUUAUGCAUGAAUUACCUGUGAAUGUGGGGAUAUUGAUUAACAACGGUAUGGUUAGUUGUCGGAUCAAGUCUGAUUAUGAAUGCUUGUAUUUUCCUUCAACUAUCACUCGUUUGGUCUCCUUAUUUGAUGUGGAUUUGAGUGAUUUACCGAAGACUGAAAAUUCUUACUUCAUCGGCAGUGACUUUCUCCAUAGUUUGAGACCUCCUACUGGUCCAACUCAAGUUGAACAUGAAUAAAUGCUUUUUGAUAGUGGAAACGAAGCGGAGAAUGAGCCAAAACAACCUUUUAAUUCAGAAAUUGGAACCACGGCUACCAUCCUCGUUCCUGAUAUUCUGGUUAGUAUGAAGAAGAAGGUUGCAACAGGUAACAUAAUUUUGAUAGCUAUGGUAAUAACUUGUACAUAAUCUAACCUGUUGGUUCUAAUGAAACCUUGAAUGUAUGUUUAAUGUAAGCUAUUUUAGUACUUGGAACAUUUACAACUAAAAUGUCUUAUUUUCUUAUCUUUCGUUAUUUUAGUACUUUUUUUUUGAAAAACAAAAUAACUUGGACAUUGUGAGUUAAAGCAAGAAACGUUAAAAAUAGUAUUGUCAUUAACUUUAUGCCAUUGUAGUACCAGAAAGUUGUACUUCCAAGCCAAAAAACAUAAAAUGAAAAAAAAACUUUUGUACACUUUUGUUUAAACUAAAAAGGGGAAAGAAAAGAACUUUCAGAAUAAUUUGCACAUGAAUAAGCUUUGCUCAUUUCUUGGCAACAUAUCUGAAUAUUUCAGGUCCAUAGAACAUUGAAGACUUCUAUUUUUAUGCCUCCAUUUUUGUUGAUAUUCGAUGCGAGUGGAGGCCAAUUCGAG